AAAGAAUUAAAUGGAUGAAAUAUGAAGUUUUAUUAAAAGAAAAAGGGGUGAAAAGAACAAAGUUUUGUCCAUCUUUGUUCAUCAUAGCUGAAAGUUAGAGAAGAGAAAUGAGAGGAGAAAGCUCUUGAGUAUUUGGUCAUUAGGAGGAGGAAAAUUGAAGGCGAUUCGUGUGUGGAUCUCGUCAGCAUAUCGUCGCAAACAGGUAAUCCCCAACCAUAGUGGGCUUGGAGCUGUGAGGGAAUUCGGAGUGGCCACCCGUUCUGAAAGUUUAAUUUUCUUCUGGUGAACUGGACAUCCUUUUAAUUACGUUUGAGGUUUUGGGCUUUUAAAUGUAAUAAGGCCCCUUAUUUAUUUUUGAUGGUUUUUAAUAUGUAUUACUAAGAUAGGUAAUACUUAUUUUAACUGUUGAAAUUGGAUAGCUUUAGGGCGCAUUUUCAAAAACAACAGUUGAUUUCAAAAUAACACGACAACAAGCAAAGCUUCCGCAAUGAAA